UCUCGGGGGCAGGGGUUUGUGCUGCUGUCUGGAGAUGCUGUUCACAGGGGCAGAGGCAGGGAGAGCCCUAAGGAUGUGUCCAAAAGCAAUGACUUCUCCAGGAUUUGCUCCAGGAAGGAGUCGAAGUAGCUGUUGACCGUUUCGAAGCCGUCCCGGAUGGUGUCGAUGCCCCAGUCGGAGUAGGAUGACUCUGCCCGUGGAUCCUGCUGGCCGGUGCUCUCCUGCGCUGCCCCCUCGGAGCAGCGCCCCAGGGCCAGGCACAGCAGCGCUGCCGGCAGCAGCAGCCUCAUGCUGCACUCCAGCCCUCGGGGAGCGGGGAGCAGUGGGAUCGAGCUGCCCUGGGUGGGAGGCAGGAGACUCAGCCCUGCUGUGUUGCUGCUUCUGAAGGGCCAGAGCCCCGUGGCAGUGCCUGUGUCUUUCUGGAUGGGGCCAUGUGUGAUGUGCUCCAGACUUGGGAUAAAGGAGGAGGCACCACAGCCAAGUCUUGGUUUCCCAGACAGGUUCCCGAUGGCCACAAAUUAAGCAGGAGCUCCACUGCUCCCGAGGGUGAGGCCCGGGAAUGGCUGUGCUCUGCAAAGCACCGAGGGUUUGGGUAAGGAAGAUGUCAGCCUGAGCUUCCUACAUGGAAGUGGCAGGAGUUACCUGCAGCUGUGGAGCUUAUGGAGCU